GGCCAGGUAGCUCAGUAGGAAGAGCACAGGUCUGAAAAACCUGGGGUCGGCAGUUCGAUUCUGCCCCUGGCCACCA
rnacentral:tRNA from 5 species